rnacentral:lncRNA from 1 species
AUGGUCUUUCCCGGCAAGUGUCAAUGGUGUGAUCUAUCGGUGUGUGUUGUCUCUCUUUCUGUCAUAUACACAUACAGUAUAUACAUGCUGAACAUUGUUCUCACAAAUACACAAACCACUGCCUCCUCCCCUCACACUCUCGCCUGUUGUCUACAUUCGUGCCAACCCCAGGUACACAAACCACUGCCUCCUCCCCUCACACUCUCGCCUGUUGUCUACAUUCGUGCCAACCCCAGGUACACAAACCACUGCCUCUCCUCCCCUCACACUCUCCUGUUGUCUACAUUCGUGCCAACCCCAGGUACACAAACCACUGCCUCCUCCCCUUACACACUCUCCUGUUGUCUACAUUCGUGCCAACCCCAGGUACACAAACCACUGCCUCUCCUCCCCUCACACUCUCCUGUUGUCUACAUUCGUGCCAACCCCAGGUACACAAACCACUGCCUCCUCCCCUCACACUCUCCUGUUGUCUACAUUCGUGCCAACCCCAGGUACACAAACCUCUGCCUCUCCUCCCCACACACUCUCCUGUUGUCUACAUUCGUGCCAACCCCAGGUACACAAACCACUGCCUCCUCCCCUUACACACUCUCCUGUUGUCUACAUUCGUGCCAACCCCAGGUACACAAACCACUGCCUCUCCUCCCCUCACACUCUCCUGUUGUCUACAUUCGUGCCAACCCCAGGUACACAAACCACUGCCUCCUCCCCUCACACUCUCCUGUUGUCUACAUUCGUGCCAACCCCAGGUACACAAACCACUGCCUCCUCCCCUCACACACACUCUCCUGUUGUCUACAUUCGUGCCAACCCCAGGUACACAAACCACUGCCUCUCCUCCCCUUACACACUCUCCUGUUGUCUACAUUCGUGCCAACCCCAGGUACACAAACCACUGCCGCCUCCCCUCACACUCUCCUGUUGUCUACAUUCGUGCCAACCCCAGGUACACAAACCACUGCCUCCUCCCCUCACACUCUCCUGUUGUCUACAUUCGUGCCAACCCCAGGUACACAAACCACUGCCUCCUCCCCUCACACUCUCCUGUUGUCUACAUUCGUGCCAACCCCAGGUACACAAACCACUGCCUCCUCCCCUCACACUCUCCUGUUGUCUACAUUCGUGCCAACCCCAGGUACACAAACCACUGCCUCCUCCCCUCACACUCUCCUGUUGUCUGCAUUCGUGCCAACCCCAGGUACACAAACCACUGCCGCCUCCCCUCACACUCUCCUGUUGUCUACAUUCGUGCCAACCCCAGGUACACAAACCACUGCCUCCUCCCCUCACACUCUCCUGUUGUCUACAUUCGUGCCAACCCCAGGUACACAAACCACUGCCUCCUCCCCUCACACUCUCCUGUUGUCUACAUUCGUGCCAACCCCAGGUACACAAACCACUGCCUCUCCUCCCCUUACACACUCUCCUGUUGUCUACAUUCGUGCCAACCCCAGGUACACAAACCACUGCCUCCUCCCCUCACACACACUCUCCUGUUGUCUACAUUCGUGCCAACCCCAGGUACACAAACCGCUGCCUCUCCUCCCCUUACACACUCUCCUGUUGUCUACAUUCGUGUCAACCCCAGGUACACAAACCACUGCCGCCCCCCCCUUACACACUCUCCUGUUGUCUACAUUCGUGCCAACCCCAGGUACACAAACCACUGCCUCCUCCCCUCACACACACUCUCCUGUUGUCUACAUUCGUGCCAACCCCAGGUACACAAUCCACUGCCUCUCCUCCCCUUACACACUCUCCUGUUGUCUACAUUCGUGCCAACCCCAGGUACACAAACCACUGCCGCCUCCCCUCACACUCUCCUGUUGUCUACAUUCGUGCCAACCCCAGGUACACAAACCACUGCCUCCUCCCCUCACACUCUCCUGUUGUCUACAUUCGUGCCAACCCCAGGUACACAAACCACUGCCUCCUCCCCUCACACUCUCCUGUUGUCUACAUUCGUGCCAACCCCAGGUACACAAACCACUGCCUCUCCUCCCCUUACACACUCUCCUGUUGUCUACAUUCGGCGCCAACCCCAGGUACACAAACCACUGCCUCCUCCCCUCACACACACUCUCCUGUUGUCUACAUUCGUGCCAACCCCAGGUACACAAACCACUGCCUCUCCUCCCCUUACACACUCUCCUGUUGUCUACAUUCGUGCCAACCCCAGGUACACAAACCACUGCCGCCCCCCCCCUUACACACUCUCCUGUUGUCUACAUUCGUGCCAACCCCAGGUACACAAACCACUGCCUCCUCCCCUCACACACACUCUCCUGUUGUCUACAUUCGUGCCAACCCCAGGUACACAAACCACUGCCUCUCCUCCCCUUACACACUCUCCUGUUGUCUACAUUCGUGCCAACCCCAGGUACACAAACCACUGCCUCCUCCCCUCACACUCUCCUGUUGUCUACAUUCGUGCCAACCCCAGGUACACAAACCACUGCCUCCUCCCCUCACACUCUCCUGUUGUCUACAUUCGUGCCAACCCCAGGUACACAAACCACUGCCUCCUCCCCUCACACUCUCCUGUUGUCUACAUUCGUGCCAACCCCAGGUACACAAACCACUGCCUCCUCCCCUCACACUCUCCUGUUGUCUGCAUUCGUGCCAACCCCAGGUACACAAACCACUGCCGCCCCCCCUUACACACUCUCCUGUUGUCUACAUUCGUGCCAACCCCAGGUACACAAACCACUGCCUCCUCCCCUCACACACACUCUCCUGUUGUCUACAUUCGUGCCAACCCCAGGUACACAAACCACUGCCUCUCCUCCCCUUACACACUCUCCUGUUGUCUACAUUCGUGCCAACCCCAGGUACACAAACCACUGCCGCCUCCCCUCACACUCUCCUGUUGUCUACAUUCGUGCCAACCCCAGGUACACAAACCACUGCCUCCUCCCCUCACACUCUCCUGUUGUCUACAUUCGUGCCAACCCCAGGUACACAAACCACUGCCUCCUCCCCUCACACUCUCCUGUUGUCUACAUUCGUGCCAACCCCAGGUACACAAACCACUGCCUCUCCUCCCCUUACACACUCUCCUGUUGUCUACAUUCGUGCCAACCCCAGGUACACAAACCACUGCCUCUCCUCCCCUUACACACUCUCCUGUUGUCUACAUUCGUGCCAACCCCAGGUACACAAACCACUGCCUCCUCCCCUCACACACACUCUCCUGUUGUCUACAUUCGUGCCAACCCCAGGUACACAAACCACUGCCUCUCCUCCCCUUACACACUCUCCUGUUGUCUACAUUCGUGCCAACCCCAGGUACACAAACCACUGCCGCCCCCCCCUUACACACUCUCCUGUUGUCUACAUUCGUGCCAACCCCAGGUACACAAACCACUGCCUCCUCCCCUCACAUACACUCUCCUGUUGUCUACAUUCGUGCCAACCCCAGGUACACAAACCACUGCCUCUCCUCCCCUUACACACUCUCCUGUUGUCUACAUUCGUGCCAACCCCAGGUACACAAACCACUGCCUCCUCCCCUCACACUCUCCUGUUGUCUACAUUCGUGCCAACCCCAGGUACACAAACCACUGCCUCCUCCCCUCACACUCUCCUGUUGUCUACAUUCGUGCCAACCCCAGGUACACAAACCACUGCCUCCUCCCCUCACACUCUCCUGUUGUCUACAUUCGUGCCAACCCCAGGUACACAAACCACUGCCUCCUCCCCUCACACUCUCCUGUUGUCUGCAUUCGUGCCAACCCCAGGUACACAAACCACUGCCGCCUCCCCUCACACUCUCCUGUUGUCUACAUUCGUGCCAACCCCAGGUACACAAACCACUGCCUCCUCCCCUCACACUCUCCUGUUGUCUACAUUCGUGCCAACCCCAGGUACACAAACCACUGCCUCCUCCCCUCACACUCUCCUGUUGUCUACAUUCGUGCCAACCCCAGGUACACAAACCACUGCCUCUCCUCCCCUCACACACACUCUCCUGUUGUCUACAUUCGUGCCAACCCCAGGUACACAAACCACUGCCUCUCCUCCCCUUACACACUCUCCUGUUGUCUACAUUCGUGCCAACCCCAGGUACACAAACCACUGCCGCCCCCCCCUUACACACUCUCCUGUUGUCUACAUUCGUGCCAACCCCAGGUACACAAACCACUGCCUCCUCCCCUCACACACACUCUCCUGUUGUCUACAUUCGUGCCAACCCCAGGUACACAAACCACUGCCUCUCCUCCCCUUACACACUCUCCUGUUGUCUACAUUCGUGCCAACCCCAGGUACACAAACCACUGCCUCCUCCCCUCACACUCUCCUGUUGUCUACAUUCGUGCCAACCCCAGGUACACAAACCACUGCCUCCUCCCCUCACACUCUCCUGUUGUCUACAUUCGUGCCAACCCCAGGUACACAAACCACUGCCUCCUCCCCUCACACUCUCCUGUUGUCUACAUUCGUGCCAACCCCAGGUACACAAACCACUGCCUCUCCUCCCCUUACACACUCUCCUGUUGUCUACAUUCGUGCCAACCCCAGGUACACAAACCACUGCCUCCUCCCCUCACACUCUCCUGUUGUCUACAUUCGUGCCAACCCCAGGUACACAAACCACUGCCUCCUCCCCUCACACUCUCCUGUUGUCUACAUUCGUGCCAACCCCAGGUACACAAACCACUGCCUCCUCCCCUCACACUCUCCUGUUGUCUACAUUCGUGCCAACCCCAGGUACACAAACCACUGCCUCCUCCCCUCACACUCUCCUGUUGUCUGCAUUCGUGCCAACCCCAGGUACACAAACCACUGCCGCCUCCCCUCACACUCUCCUGUUGUCUACAUUCGUGCCAACCCCAGGUACACAAACCACUGCCUCCUCCCCUCACACUCUCCUGUUGUCUACAUUCGUGCCAACCCCAGGUACACAAACCACUGCCGCCCCCCCCUUACACACUCUCCUGUUGUCUACAUUCGUGCCAACCCCAGGUACACAAACCACUGCCUCCUCCCCUCACACACACUCUCCUGUUGUCUACAUUCGUGCCAACCCCAGGUACACAAACCACUGCCUCUCCUCCCCUUACACACUCUCCUGUUGUCUACAUUCGUGCCAACCCCAGGUACACAAACCACUGCCUCCUCCCCUCACACUCUCCUGUUGUCUACAUUCGUGCCAACCCCAGGUACACAAACCACUGCCUCCUCCCCUCACACUCUCCUGUUGUCUACAUUCGUGCCAACCCCAGGUACACAAACCACUGCCUCCUCCCCUCACACUCUCCUGUUGUCUACAUUCGUGCCAACCCCAGGUACACAAACCACUGCCUCCUCCCCUCACACUCUCCUGUUGUCUACAUUCGUGCCAACCCCAGGUACACAAACCACUGCCUCCUCCCCUCACACUCUCCUGUUGUCUACAUUCGUGCCAACCCCAGGUACACAAACCACUGCCUCUCCUCCCCUUACACACUCUCCUGUUGUCUACAUUCGUGCCAACCCCAGGUACACAAACCACUGCCUCCUCCCCUCACACUCUCCUGUUGUCUACAUUCGUGCCAACCCCAGGUACACAAACCACUGCCUCUCCUCCCCUUACACACUCUCCUGUUGUCUACAUUCGUGCCAACCCCAGGUACACAAACCACUGCCUCCUCCCCUCACACUCUCCUGUUGUCUACAUUCGUGCCAACCCCAGGUACACAAACCACUGCCUCCUCCCCUCACACUCUCCUGUUGUCUACAUUCGUGCCAACCCCAGGUACACAAACCACUGCCUCCUCCCCUCACACUCUCCUGUUGUCUACAUUCGUGCCAACCCCAGGUACACAAACCACUGCCUCCUCCCCUCACACUCUCCUGUUGUCUGCAUUCGUGCCAACCCCAGGUACACAAACCACUGCCGCCUCCCCUCACACUCUCCUGUUGUCUACAUUCGUGCCAACCCCAGGUACACAAACCACUGCCUCCUCCCCUCACACUCUCCUGUUGUCUACAUUCGUGCCAACCCCAGGUACACAAACCACUGCCUCCUCCCCUCACACUCUCCUGUUGUCUACAUUCGUGCCAACCCCAGGUACACAACCACUGCCUCUCCUCCCCUCACACACACUCUCCUGUUGUCUACAUUCGUGCCAACCCCAGGUACACAAACCACUGCCUCUCCUCCCCUUACACACUCUCCUGUUGUCUACAUUCGUGCCAACCCCAGGUACACAAACCACUGCCGCCCCCCCUUACACACUCUCCUGUUGUCUACAUUCGUGCCAACCCCAGGUACACAAACCACUGCCUCCUCCCCUCACACACACUCUCCUGUUGUCUACAUUCGUGCCAACCCCAGGUACACAAACCACUGCCUCUCCUCCCCUUACACACUCUCCUGUUGUCUACAUUCGUGCCAACCCCAGGUACACAAACCACUGCCUCCUCCCCUCACACUCUCCUGUUGUCUACAUUCGUGCCAACCCCAGGUACACAAACCACUGCCUCCUCCCCUCACACUCUCCUGUUGUCUACAUUCGUGCCAACCCCAGGUACACAAACCACUGCCUCCUCCCCUCACACUCUCCUGUUGUCUACAUUCGUGCCAACCCCAGGUACACAAACCACUGCCUCCUCCCCUCACACUCUCCUGUUGUCUACAUUCGUGCCAACCCCAGGUACACAAACCACUGCCUCCUCCCCUCACACUCUCCUGUUGUCUACAUUCGUGCCAACCCCAGGUACACAAACCACUGCCUCUCCUCCCCUUACACACUCUCCUGUUGUCUACAUUCGUGCCAACCCCAGGUACACAAACCACUGCCUCCUCCCCUCACACACACUCUCCUGUUGUCUACAUUCGUGCCAACCCCAGGUACACAAACCACUGCCUCUCCUCCCCUUACACACUCUCCUGUUGUCUACAUUCGUGCCAACCCCGGGUACACAAACCACUGCCGCCCCCCCUUACACACUCUCCUGUUGUCUACAUUCGUGCCAACCCCAGGUACACAAACCACUGCCUCCUCCCCUCACACUCUCCUGUUGUCUACAUUCGUGCCAACCCCAGGUACACAAACCACUGCCUCUCCUCCCCUCACACACACUCUCCUGUUGUCUACAUUCGUGCCAACCCCAGGUACACAAACCACUGCCUCUCCUCCCCUUACACACUCUCCUGUUGUCUACAUUCGUGCCAACCCCAGGUACACAAACCACUGCCUCCUCCCCUCACACACACUCUCCUGUUGUCUACAUUCGUGCCAACCCCAGGUACACAAACCACUGCCUCUCCUCCCCUUACACACUCUCCUGUUGUCUACAUUCGUGCCAACCCCGGGUACACAAACCACUGCCGCCCCCCCCUUACACACUCUCCUGUUGUCUACAUUCGUGCCAACCCCAGGUACACAAACCACUGCCUCCUCCCCUCACACACACUCUCCUGUUGUCUACAUUCGUGCCAACCCCAGGUACACAAACCACUGCCUCUCCUCCCCUUACACACUCUCCUGUUGUCUACAUUCGUGCCAACCCCAGGUACACAAACCACUGCCUCCUCCCCUCACACUCUCCUGUUGUCUACAUUCGUGCCAACCCCAGGUACACAAACCACUGCCUCCUCCCCUUACACACUCUCCUGUUGUCUACAUUCGUGCCAACCCCAGGUACACAAACCACUGCCUCCUCCCCUCACACUCUCCUGUUGUCUACAUUCGUGCCAACCCCAGGUACACAAACCACUGCCUCCUCCCCUUACACACUCUCCUGUUGUCUACAUUCGUGCCAACCCCAGGUACACAAACCACUGCCUCCUCCCCUCACACUCUCCUGUUGUCUACAUUCGUGCCAACCCCAGGUACACAAACCACUGCCUCCUCCCCUCACACUCUCCUGUUGUCUGCAUUCGUGCCAACCCCAGGUACACAAACCACUGCCUCUCCUCCCCUUACACACUCUCCUGUUGUCUACAUUCGUGCCAACCCCAGGUACACAAACCACUGCCUCCUCCCCUCACACACACUCUCCUGUUGUCUACAUUCGUGCCAACCCCAGGUACACAAACCACUGCCUCUCCUCCCCUUACACACUCUCCUGUUGUCUACAUUCGUGCCAACCCCAGGUACACAACCACUGCCUCCUCCCCUCACACUCUCCUGUUGUCUACAUUCGUGCCAACCCCAGGUACACAAACCACUGCCUCCUCCCCUCACACUCUCCUGUUGUCUACAUUCGUGCCAACCCCAGGUACACAAACCACUGCCUCCUCCCCUCACACUCUCCUGUUGUCUACAUUCGUGCCAACCCCAGGUACACAAACCACUGCCUCCUCCCCUCACACUCUCCUGUUGUCUGCAUUCGUGCCAACCCCAGGUACACAAACCACUGCCGCCUCCCCUCACACUCUCCUGUUGUCUACAUUCGUGCCAACCCCAGGUACACAAACCACUGCCUCCUCCCCUCACACUCUCCUGUUGUCUACAUUCGUGCCAACCCCAGGUACACAAACCACUGCCUCCUCCCCUCACACUCUCCUGUUGUCUACAUUCGUGCCAACCCCAGGUACACAAACCACUGCCUCUCCUCCCCUUACACACUCUCCUGUUGUCUACAUUCGUGCCAACCCCAGGUACACAAACCACUGCCUCCUCCCCUCACACACACUCUCCUGUUGUCUACAUUCGUGCCAACCCCAGGUACACAAACCACUGCCUCUCCUCCCCUUACACACUCUCCUGUUGUCUACAUUCGUGCCAACCCAGGUACACAAACCACUGCCGCCCCCCCCUUACACACUCUCCUGUUGUCUACAUUCGUGCCAACCCCAGGUACACAAACCACUGCCUCCUCCCCUCACACACACUCUCCUGUUGUCUACAUUCGUGCCAACCCCAGGUACACAAACCACUGCCUCUCCUCCCCUUACACACUCUCCUGUUGUCUACAUUCGUGCCAACCCCAGGUACACAAACCACUGCCUCCUCCCCUCACACUCUCCUGUUGUCUACAUUCGUGCCAACCCCAGGUACACAAACCACUGCCUCUCCUCCCCUUACACACUCUCCUGUUGUCUACAUUCGUGCCAACCCCAGGUACACAAACCACUGCCUCCUCCCCUCACACACACUCUCCUGUUGUCUACAUUCGUGCCAACCCCAGGUACACAAACCACUGCCUCUCCUCCCCUUACACACUCUCCUGUUGUCUACAUUCGUGCCAACCCCAGGUACACAAACCACUGCCGCCCCCCCUUACACACUCUCCUGUUGUCUACAUUCGUGCCAACCCCAGGUACACAAACCACUGCCUCCUCCCCUCACACACACUCUCCUGUUGUCUACAUUCGUGCCAACCCCAGGUACACAAACCACUGCCUCUCCUCCCCUUACACACUCUCCUGUUGUCUACAUUCGUGCCAACCCCAGGUACACAAACCACUGCCUCCUCCCCUCACACUCUCCUGUUGUCUACAUUCGUGCCAACCCCAGGUACACAAACCACUGCCUCCUCCCCUUACACACUCUCCUGUUGUCUACAUUCGUGCCAACCCCAGGUACACAAACCACUGCCUCCUCCCCUCACACUCUCCUGUUGUCUACAUUCGUGCCAACCCCAGGUACACAAACCACUGCCUCCUCCCCUUACACACUCUCCUGUUGUCUACAUUCGUGCCAACCCCAGGUACACAAACCACUGCCUCCUCCCCUCACACUCUCCUGUUGUCUACAUUCGUGCCAACCCCAGGUACACAAACCACUGCCUCCUCCCCUCACACUCUCCUGUUGUCUGCAUUCGUGCCAACCCCAGGUACACAAACCACUGCCUCUCCUCCCCUUACACACUCUCCUGUUGUCUACAUUCGUGCCAACCCCAGGUACACAAACCACUGCCUCCUCCCCUCACACACACUCUCCUGUUGUCUACAUUCGUGCCAACCCCAGGUACACAAACCACUGCCUCUCCUCCCCUUACACACUCUCCUGUUGUCUACAUUCGUGCCAACCCCAGGUACACAAACCACUGCCUCCUCCCCUCACACUCUCCUGUUGUCUACAUUCGUGCCAACCCCAGGUACACAAACCACUGCCUCCUCCCCUCACACUCUCCUGUUGUCUACAUUCGUGCCAACCCCAGGUACACAAACCACUGCCUCCUCCCCUCACACUCUCCUGUUGUCUACAUUCGUGCCAACCCCAGGUACACAAACCACUGCCUCCUCCCCUCACACUCUCCUGUUGUCUGCAUUCGUGCCAACCCCAGGUACACAAACCACUGCCGCCUCCCCUCACACUCUCCUGUUGUCUACAUUCGUGCCAACCCCAGGUACACAAACCACUGCCUCCUCCCCUCACACUCUCCUGUUGUCUACAUUCGUGCCAACCCCAGGUACACAAACCACUGCCUCCUCCCCUCACACUCUCCUGUUGUCUACAUUCGUGCCAACCCCAGGUACACAACCACUGCCUCUCCUCCCCUUACACACUCUCCUGUUGUCUACAUUCGUGCCAACCCCAGGUACACAAACCACUGCCUCCUCCCCUCACACACACUCUCCUGUUGUCUACAUUCGUGCCAACCCCAGGUACACAAACCACUGCCUCUCCUCCCCUUACACACUCUCCUGUUGUCUACAUUCGUGCCAACCCCAGGUACACAAACCACUGCCGCCCCCCCCUUACACACUCUCCUGUUGUCUACAUUCGUGCCAACCCCAGGUACACAAACCACUGCCUCCUCCCCUCACACACACUCUCCUGUUGUCUACAUUCGUGCCAACCCCAGGUACACAAACCACUGCCUCUCCUCCCCUUACACACUCUCCUGUUGUCUACAUUCGUGCCAACCCCAGGUACACAAACCACUGCCUCCUCCCCUCACACUCUCCUGUUGUCUACAUUCGUGCCAACCCCAGGUACACAAACCACUGCCUCUCCUCCCCUUACACACUCUCCUGUUGUCUACAUUCGUGCCAACCCCAGGUACACAAACCACUGCCUCCUCCCCUCACACACACUCUCCUGUUGUCUACAUUCGUGCCAACCCCAGGUACACAAACCACUGCCUCUCCUCCCCUUACACACUCUCCUGUUGUCUACAUUCGUGCCAACCCCAGGUACACAAACCACUGCCCGCCCCCCCUUACACACUCUCCUGUUGUCUACAUUCGUGCCAACCCCAGGUACACAAACCACUGCCUCCUCCCCUCACACACACUCUCCUGUUGUCUACAUUCGUGCCAACCCCAGGUACACAAACCACUGCCUCUCCUCCCCUUACACACUCUCCUGUUGUCUACAUUCGUGCCAACCCCAGGUACACAAACCACUGCCUCCUCCCCUCACACUCUCCUGUUGUCUACAUUCGUGCCAACCCCAGGUACACAAACCACUGCCUCCUCCCCUCACACUCUCCUGUUGUCUACAUUAG